CCCGUGUGGGAGGGCAGCAAGGCCCAGCGCCUGGGCUCCGGCUGGGGUGGGGUAGGGGUGUCCAAAGUCCCCACCCAGAGAGGGCCGGGGUGGACCCCUGUGUUCCCCAUUUCCUGUUUCCCUGAGCCUGCAGCAGAGUUCUGUGGGGGCGGAACCAGUGACUUCUCUCUCAGGAGAGAGGCACCCAAGGACCAGGGGGCUCUUUGCCUCUCCCUGCACCCUGCAGGGAUCUGCUUGCUCAUUUGUAAACUGGGGAGUCCGGUUCGGAUCGAAGUCUUCUGUGGAACCGGUGCUUUCACCCAGCUCUCCUCUGCCGGCGUCACUCUGAGAGCAGCUGCCCACUGUCUCAGGGGUACUUUUCAGGAGCAACACUUGGCCGGAAGCCGGGAAACCGAGGGGGCCGGGAAGAGGCACCCGGACCAGGGGGCUCUUUGCCUCUCCCUGCACCCUGCAGGGAUCUGCUUGCUCAUUUGUAAACUGGGGAGUCCGGUUCGGAUCGAAGUCUUCUGUGGAACCGGUGCUUUCACCCAGCUCUCCUCUGCCGGCGUCACUCUGAGAGCAGCUGCCCACUGUCUCAGGGGUACUUUUCAGGAGCAACACUUGGCCGGAAGCCGGGAAACCGAGGGGGCCGGGACACUGGCGAGCCGCUGCCCACCUUCCGGUCCAGCCCGGGGCUCAGUGCUGCGGCGCGUGCGCUCUUGCCAGACCCCCCUCCCCCGACACACACUUGGCGCGCAUCUCAUGCACCCAGGGCUCGCCUCAUGGGGGCGGAGCCGGGUCUUCCUCAUCUCCUCCAACAGAUUCUGUGCUGCGGGAACUGGGAGCCCACGCUGCUCAGGAGCUGGGAAGCCACGGAGCCGCAGACUCGGGCCUUGCCUGGACGCCGUGAGAGCCCGGAAGCCCGGCUCGUCCUGCGGAGCCGGCUGGGGGCCAAACACCCCGCCUCCCAAGGGAAGAGCCGGAAGUCUCACGGUGGCAGAUCCUGUGAAUAUGGAUGAGGACACAGUGGCAUGUUUACAUGAGCUGCCUUUCCUUUGGAAGACACUUGGCAACAUCAUGUACCAUAUUUUUGAUCAUACCUCAUAAAGACAUGCAGGAAAGAGGACUUCCAGAAGAGAUUUAGAAAGUGGCAGAAGGAUAGGCUAAGGAGGGAGGAGGAUUAUGAGGGGGACUCAUGGAAAUGUGUCUUUUUCUGUAAUAAUUGAAAACAACUGUAACAUUCAUUGCCUAGUUCAGUCACACCUCAUGUGCUGUUUUCUCCUCCGCACUGACUUUCACAUCCCCAUGCCCACUGUUCCUUCACCUUCAAGGACUCAGGGAGGCUCCUGGGCAGGGAUUUAUACAGGGUCAGGUCUGGGAAUCAUGCAGCAGCAGCAUUUGGUAGAAUGGUUUAGUCUUGAGCCCUUCAAGAGGAAACUCUGAAAACAAGACGUAAACGAGACAUUUAUGGAACCAAAGGAAUUAAAAGUGCACCUCCUACACAUCCAUUCAGGUAAUACUCAUGAGGUCUGGACUGUUGGACUCAUUUUCCUUUGGAGACACCAAAGCUCAGAGUCCAAGUAACUUCCCUGAGUUCUACCAGAAAGAGAGGUGAAGUCAGGCUUUGGAACCACAUAGGAUUGACUGCAAAUGCCAUGCCUUCCCCCUUGGUGGAAGGAAUGAUGAAUAUUAAGAGUGUAAGCCAAGAAAUCAUAAGAUAAAAGCAAAGUGGAAGGAAUAUAGACUUGGGAUUUUCAAACAAGAAGUAGAUCAUGACUUGAUAUUCUUUGGGGUAGAUAAGCAGGGUCAGAGAAAGUUCAGCAUGCAUCAGGGUGUUUGUAAAUUUUGUGAUUGCACUGCUAUAUCCUGGUCAAGAAGCAAAACAAACAAUCUAGUUUCCCCAAGCUUGCAAAGUAUUGCUAGGUCGCAGAAAAUCUCUCUAACAGGUUCCAUUCNNNNNNNNNNNNNNNNNNUCCUGCUAUGAUGAUGUCUAUGCAGCAUACCCCGUCAAUAAAUUCUGUAAGGACCAGAAAAGGAUUUUUGCUCUUUUUGACCAUUCUGCAGGCUUUUGAUUUUUAUGUUGUCAAGACUUCUUGGAGGUUCUCAAAUGCCAGUAGUAAAAUCCUCCCCCAUAACUCUUUCCUAUGUUUUGGUCAGCCCAUACCCAAGAAGAUGUCUUGCAUUGGGAAUAGAGGAUAUCAUCUCCCAGAAGACAUAUGUGGAUGGAAAACUUAAGACAAAGAAUUUGCAGACAUUUUCACAAAAGGCCAUCUAGCAAAUAUUUUAGGGCUAUGGCUAUUUUGGAAGUUGUUCCAGUUUCAUUACAAUAAUUGAAAAAUAAGGAAAAGUUCUGAAACAUAGCUGUAAAAUUCAGUUGAAAUGACUUAGGAAAUGUACCAGAAAUUUAACAACAACUUGGAGGAGGCCCUUUGCAUACGUGACAUGGCUUAAAACUCAAGCUGGGCUUAAAUUUUCACUCUCCUGCUUACUUUGUGGAGUUGCUUAACCAAUCAGAACUCAAAAUGCUUUCUCAGCAGUAAAAUGGAAAUUAGAAUGCGUGGAUUCCAAUUAGAAUGAAUUAUCAGAGCUAGAGAAUUAAGCAAUGUAAUGCAUAUCAGAUGCUUAGCACUAUACCUGGCAUAAAGAAAGUACAGCACUUAACAUGCUAGUUUUCUGUAUUGAUUUAGUAUUGAUCAAUUUGUCAUUUAUGAAUGUAGUGACUGUAGCCAAUGAUGUAAAAAAAUAAUUAAAAACAUGAAUAUAGCAAGUUAAUUAAUAUAAGAGAAAGAAGCCAUGGAUCAGAUAAUUGAAAGACAUUAACAAAUUAACAGGGAUGUUUAGAAAUUUUUUUAUCAACAGAGGUGAAAUUGUUAAUAAAUGUUUGCUAAUUGAUGGGGAAAAUGAAAGCAUUUUGUCUCUUUUGGGAUCAUAGGGCUUUUACAAUGACACUGUAUCCUAUAACUUGAUGAAGUUAUCUUUAUUUUUUAAAUUAUAAAUAUGAAUACAUUACUUGCACCAAUUAAUGGGCUUCACUAGACCUUUCCAUACAUGGAUGUGUCCUGUAGUAAUUGUAUCCACCCUCCCUACCACCCUUUCUCGCCCUCCCUUCUUCUGUUUCCUUCUCCUGGCUCCUUUUCUUUUUCUUAGUAGUCUCUGAGCUCCUUUCAGGUUCCCUCCCUGCCUUCCUUCCUUCCUUGCCUCCUUCCUUUGUUCGUUGCUACACAGCACAUAGGAGAAUGGUGCUUGGCUUUCUGAGUCUGGCUGAUUUUGUUUAACAUGAUGAUCCAGUUCCAUCCAUUUUCCUGCAAGUGGCGUGAUUUUACUUGAGUCCGUCUUUAAGCAAAGGUGUCCUGUGGAUGAGCUAGCAUUUCAGAACGUCUGAAUAUUUAAGGAACUUGUAGCACAUAGCAUUGAGUUCCUGCUGCUGCAUACUGUCCACGUAAGUGUCAGAAAAUCUACUCUUUCCUUUUUCCACUUUGGAAUGCUUUCCUUGUUCUUGGUUUCUCCUUUGUUUAUCUAAAACAGCCUUUCCUUAUGACUUUUGUUAUUGUUUUCCCUUUUGAACAUAUGGUUAGGGGUUAGAAGUUUCAUUUCAAGGUCUGCCCUGUUUGAUCACCCCACAAAACAAAACAAAACAAAACAAAACAAAACAAAACAAUUGCGCCUCUGAGAGCUCUGUUCAUUGUUCCCAAAUAACGCAUGCACGGGAACAAUGAACCUUUGGUCUCCCACGCUGAUUAGCUGCCGCAUCUGUAUUCAGAACACCUUUCCUCCCUCUGGGUCCCCUCAGGCUCCCCCUGCUCCUGUGAGAACACUGCUGUCAUCCCCUGCACUGGCCCUGUGCCCAGUGUCCACCAAAACAAAUGUUUUCUCCACUUUCACGAUCACAUCUUCCUUUCCAAAUCAGGGAAAUGCUUAUAAACGUUGAGAGACUCCUUCUGUCACUCUUUCAAUCGUAGGAAAGUAUACAUGUAGUAUAAACUUUACCUUUGAAACCAUCCUAAAUUUCCAGAACGGAUAAAUGGUCAAAUAAACUAAAUUAUGUCUACAUCAUAACAUGGGUACUAUGCAGGUUUAAAAAGCCAGGCCUAAAAAAUGUUACUUGAUGGAAAUAAAAUUUGCUCUGAUGUGAUGCAAAAAGAAGAAGGCAAUGAAUAAAAUUACAGGCUAAGUAUGUUUGAAAUCACAUGCAAAGCAUCUAUCUUUAUAGAUAUAUCAAAAUGUUAACAGUAUUUCACUUGGAUGGUAAAAUUAUGGAUUAUUUCAUUAUUUUUAGAUAUUUUUUAAUUUCCCAGUUUUAACAGUGAUGUUGUUUUACUUUUAUAAUUACAAAAAAGAAUUUUGUUCGGAGAAAGCUUGACUCUGACUGCAGUGAGUAAGUCAUUGAUUAAAUAUAUUUGUAAAGUUUUAGUGGUUGGGUUGAUGCUUAAAUAAAACAGACUAUUUUUCAGGGUAUAUAAAUCUGGAGAGUUUUCCUUUUAAUGUGCUUUCUGCCAGCUCUCUUCUCUGAAUGUCUUACUUCAGGGCUCUGAGAAGAAUGAAUGGAACAAGAUCUUUGUUCUUCACCUUUGACUUGACAAUGAACUGGUUCCAAAGCAAAACCCAUUUCUCAGCCUUUCUUUCCUCUUGCCAAUAGAAAAACCGACAACAGAAAAAGAGUAUUCACACACUGGUCUAGUAUAAGGGUGCCUCUUGCUCUUUUACCUACAUUACACUUUAGAUUGCUUUGAAGACUUUUUGGAGUUAGGAUCUUGAAAAAACAAAUAAGCAUGUAUUUCUAUUUAUCUCUGUUGUCAGCGUCUCUGACAUGCAAACAUACAGUGAGCAUUUUCAUAUGCUGAGAAUAUUCAGCAAACCACUUCUAAUGGCUUCACCCGGUGCCCCAGAAAUCCAACACUCACAUGGCUGCCAGUUACUAUGCAGGCUGCUUCUCAGCUUGCUAUGGGGUUAUAUCAUAAUAAAAUAUUGUGCAAAGGAUCCUUGAGUCAAAGAAUGCACUUAGCACACCUAACACUUAACUACUGACACCAGAGGUCAGCACCACGCUGUGGAACGUGGGUUGUUCUGACCUGACCGUGUGGCUGGUGGGAGCGGCUGGUGUGAGGGCUGUCUCCCCACACAGUGCUAGCCAGGGAUGACAUCGACAUGGAAGUAUGGCUCCUAGUGAACAUGUAUUGCUUUUGUACCAUUGUAAAGUUGAAAAAUCACAGGUUGAACCAUCUUAAAUCCUCAAGGAGCCCCGACACCCAGGACAUCUUUCUCUUCUAAUCCUUUUAAAACUCUGUCCCUCUCCUGUCUCUCUCCAGUUCUCAAACACUUUCCGCCGGGACCUAUGGAACUCAAGAUCCACUAUCAGUAACAUUUCCGGUACCCAGAAAGAAUAGGCUUAUUCGAGCUCUGUGCAUUACUCAGUAACUCUGUCCUCCUUCUCUUGCAAACUUGCUCAGAAAUAAACACAAGUGCAGCCCUCCUGGAUCACACUGUUCUUUCCUGGUGACAGACAUCCCAGAGCUACAAUCUCUCAAUGUCAAACCCUUGCCCCAAAAUAACCCUUUAAAGGCAAUAUUUUAUUCCUUGAAGAUUUCCUUCAUGAUAUAAUUCUGCCUUUUU
rnacentral:lncRNA from 1 species